rnacentral:tRNA from 1 species
GAGUGGUAGUUCAGUUGGUUAGAAUACCGGCCUGUCACGCCGGGGGUCGCGAGUUCGAGUCUCGUCCACUC